AUUGAACGCUGGCGGCAGGCUUAACACAUGCAAGUCGAGCGGGGGAAGGUAGCUUGCUACCGGACCUAGCGGCGGACGGGUGAGUAAUGCUUAGGAAUCUGCCUAUUAGUGGGGGACAACAUCUCGAAAGGGAUGCUAAUACCGCAUACGUCCUACGGGAGAAAGCAGGGGAUCUCCGGACCUUGCGCUAAUAGAUGAGCCUAAGUCGGAUUAGCUAGUUCGUGGGGUAAAGGGCUACCAAGGCGACGAUCUGUAGCGGGUCUGAGAGGAUGAUCCGCCACACUGGGACUGAGACACGGCCCAGACUCCUACGGGAGGCAGCAGUGGGGAAUAUUGGACAAUGGGGGGAACCCUGAUCCAGCCAUGCCGCGUGUGUGAAGAAGGCCUUAUGGUUGUAAAGCACUUUAAGCGAGGAGGAGGCUACUUUAGUUAAUACCUAGAGAUAGUGGACGUUACUCGCAGAAUAAGCACCGGCUAACUCUGUGCCAGCAGCAGCCGCAG
rnacentral:rRNA from 1 species